UACGUAGGUGGCAAGCGUUGUCCGGAUUUACUGGGCGUAAAGAGCGCGCAGGCGGUCGUUCAAGUCGCGUGUGAAAGCCCCCGGCUCAACUGGGGAGGGUCACGCGAUACUGAUCGACUCGAAGGCAGGAGAGGGUAGUGGAAUUCCCGGUGUAGUGGUGAAAUGCGUAGAUAUCGGGAGGAACACCAGUGGCGAAGGCAGCUCUCUGGGUCGGCCCUGACGCUGAGGCGCGAAAGCGUGGGGAGCGAACGGG
rnacentral:rRNA from 1 species